ACCUGUUUGGCCAAUCGACCCCACUCCUGCCACCCCGCCCCGGCCAGCCUUCCAGACCGAGCAAGUCCGGUCCCUUCAGCUCUCGGCACACGCCCCCUGUCCGCUCUCGGACCCGGGAUCCAGGCCGGGCCACAUGCUCCCCUCCCUCCCCUUCCCGGUCCCAGCCGGCCGUCUCCGCCAGCCCGCCGAGGCCCUCCGUGCGGCCGGGCUGCGCUCCUUCCCCAGCCCCCGGGACGUCAAAGACAAAAUGCCGGCUUCGGUCUGGGGGCUGGGGGGUACAGGUCUGAGGACUGCACCGCGACUCUGCCCACCCCCCUUCUGCUCAACACCCUCCUCUCCCACAAGGAUUCGCGCGCGUCCUCGGACCCCUUACACUUCGCGACAGGAAGACUGAGGCCGAAGGGAAGCGAACGCUUCUCAGACGUGGUGGCCGGACUGCGACUUUUUCAAACUAAAGUCUGGCUUCCUGCCCUUCCCGCCUACAGGCGCUGAGCCCUGGAACAGUCCCUGAAAAACCCCCUGCACGAGAGAGAAUAUGUCUCGGAGCCUGCCUCCCAGAAAACCCAGCCCGUGAAGGGGAGCGCGGGAGGCACUCGCUGUGCGUCCUGCUGACGGGAAUGACCCAGGAGAGGGGGAGAGGUACCCCUCACAACAACUCUGAUACGGGAGUAUCGUUAGUCCCAUUUUCUUGAGGAAGAAACGGAGUCUCAAGAGGAGGUUAAGUUGGCCCAGGUCAGGUGAGUAAAUGGAGGAGUUGAGGCUUGGCCCCUGAGAUUCUGAUUCUUUAUCUGCUGCUACUCUGGCUGAAGCCAGGAAGGCUGUGUAGCAUCUUUGAACAGCUUUGGAAACGGGCCGGGUCGAGUGCAAGUGAACCACGGGCACGGUGACCGGCCACCCAGCUCAGCUCUUCUCUUCCCACUCUGGAGCAGUUCCUCUGUCCCACCCCCCACCCCCUCCACCCCAGCAACCAGUGUCCUUUGCCGCCAUUCGGUGUUAUCAGACCAAACCUGCUUCCAGAUUCCUACUCUUCAAUCACGUUCGUGCUUUCAGCAGAGAGGUGUGGGUUCCUGCAGGAAGGGCCAGGAGGCUGACGUGGCUCUGCCGUUCCAUUCCUCCCUCGGCCUUGGCCUCCCCAUCUAUUUGAGGAGGUGGGUUCUUUUCGAACCGACGGAGCUACCGAACCCUCGUUUCAAACGAAAAAUUUUACGCAAGCCCCGUAUUCAGGUCAGAUGAAAGCCGGCUGCUCUGAGCGGAGCUGAGUUCGGGGAAGAGGGGGGGGGGUCUCUCUUAUUUUGGCAUCUUAUUGGGACCCCCCGGAUUCUUCCAACAGUUGGAAAACCCCUGGCCUGGCCAGAGUCUGUUGACUCUUGAGGUUCUUAGGACUACGGAAUCUGAGCUCCACUGAUGGCUGACAAUACCCGCAGUGCAGGUGGUCAGCUAAGUCCCUCCCUGGGUGUCCCCGUCCCCCUGAACACCUGUCCUGCCUUGAUAGGGGCACCCAGGGCCAAACUCAGGAGGGGCAUGGCAGCAAGGCCAGGUUGUGCCCAAGGCCCUGCCUCUGGAGCGAUGAGCUGUCCGGGAGCGUGAGCGCAAAGAAAUGAUAUCCGCCUGUCCGCACAGGCCCGUGGGGUCAGCCUGCCGGGCACACUCGCUGGUGACCGUGAGGAGAGGCUAGUCCCCUCCCACUGCUGCCUAUGUGUUGUCUCUCUCUUGUCUUCUCCCUUCUCUAAAAACAUGUUUUUCAUCCCUCCCUCUCUCUCCUUCCUUCUAAAAAGCUCAGCUUUCUUUGCCGGGCCUGCGGCUGCAGGGGGUGCGGCCCCAGGACGGAGACCUCACACACAAAGACAGCUGCGUCCUGGAGCAAUCAGCACUGGCAAUCGCAGGAGCUGGGACCGCCUCCUGGAGGCAAGGGUCACCAAAGGGCACCGACGCAUGUGUGGGAGUUAGCCCAGUUCGGGGACACUGCAGGUGGGAGGAUGUGGGCGCCCCAGGCUCAGAAGAGAGGCCUGGAGAGGCUGUCAGUCCCUGGGCGUGGCUGAAGUGUGGACUUGGGGGGGGGGGGGCGUGUGGCAGGUGCAGUGAGACAGGCACCCUCGAAAGGCUGUCCCAGGGCUGUGGGCUGGUCCUGAGGGCCGUGGGGAGCCAGGAGCGAUGGGGAGAUCAGUGCACAUUUCAGAAGCUCAUCUGGCUGCACAUUCAUUUGGGGCAGGGGGGAGGGGGGAGACUGUGAAAGUGGGGCUUUCCUUCCCCUUGUCACCACCCCCUCCCCUGCCCUUACCUUCCCUCAACAUCCUCCAUGUGGCCCUGUUUCCCUCUGAGACAUAUCCUGCGCACAGAAGAGAAUAGGGGCUUUGGGCGGCCGGCUGUUCCCACCUUGGCCUGGCCCCCAGCUUGGAAUGCAGCCCUUGACCCCUUCACCCCCAGGACCAUGGGGUCAGAAUGAGUUGGAAAGUCCAUGCAGAUUGGCUGGGAUGCUUUGAUUUUAGGCCCUCUGUUUGUGAACAGGAACUCAAGCAGAAGGUUAGCUUCCCCACCCCCUUCUAGUCCUUUCUAUCUAACUCUGGGCUCUGACAGCCCCUGCCCCAGCCUUGCGGCCCCUCUUGGCUCUCGGAUCACUGCCUUCCCACCCCCCAUGCUGCGGUGGGGGAGGGGGAGGUUCCAUUCCCAAACACAAGCCCUUUUGUCCCACCAUUCAGCCGGGCAUCUGCGUUGGCAUCCAGUGGGCAUCCACACUCACUUAGCCUGGGGCGGCUGCAGGACGAGGUGGGCACUGAGGGGCAGGGACCAGGGGCAGGAGUGCAGACGAUUGCUGGCUACAUUUUGGACCCUGCCCCUCCCCUGCUCAGAUCCCUUCCAGGGCUCCUGCUUACUGCGGGACGGGACGUCAUCCUUAACCAGGGGCGAUUUUAUCCCGCAGGGAACAUUUUUCAAUGGCCGGAGACAUUUUUGAUUGUCACCACUUGGGCUGGGGGAGGGGCAGGACAGCCGGCUGGACAGAGUUGUCUGGCCCUAAAUGUCAAUAGUGCCAAGGCUGAAGGUCCUACCUGAGGGUAAAUCUGCCCCCACCACGUCUGCACUCAUCCCCCUCCCCCGCCCACCCCCCAGCCUUCUCAGCAGUCACUCCCAGGCUUCCGGCCAAACCCUCUAGAAGCUCACUCCCACCUCAGUCCCUUUGCUUCUGCUGUUUCUCCUGCUGAGGUGCGCUCCCUGCUGCCCUCCACUUACCUAAAUCUCAUUUCUCUCCACCCCCUCUAGCUGUGGGGGCUCUCCCCUGCUGCCCGCGCCAGCUGCCUCUCCCCGAAGCCGGCUCUGACUGCAUGGUGCCCUGAUUCCUCCCUUCACCUGACGGCUUUGGCCCUCCCAAGUCUCAGCCGGCACAUCUACGUAACGGGUGGGACAGGCAGGUGGAGACAGGCCCUCCUGCUUCUGCCUGGAACGCUGGGCGUAUGGGGCACUCUGUGUUGGCACACGGUGGGACCCAUGCGGGCUUUGGAGUUAGCGGGCCAAGGUUCGAAUCCUGACUCGGCCACUUCCUGGUAGUUUGACCAGAGGUUAAUCACCAAACGUCUCUGUGCCUCAGCUGCCUGCCUCCUUUGUAAAAUGGGUUUUCCAGAGAGAGUUCCACGUGCUGUGCGGUGUCCCGUCCCUGUCUUCGUUCCCUGUCUGGCUGGCUUAUCUUGUCAAGAUGCGCUGCCCUUCCUGGCCAAUUUCAGAUGGACAGCCACCUACUCCUGCCCUCCUACUUCUCCCUAGAAGCUGAGCUUGCAGGGACUUUGGGGAACGGAGGCCUCUGGAGCCUCAGCGCUGGAAACCAGCUGAGCAGGCCUGGGUGAGUGGCCAGGAGCCCAGCCGGCCUUCUUGGCUCCCCUCUCAGCUUCUCAGUCCCUUCCCAGGCUCGGCGUCUCCUGCUGGGACUGUGACCUCCCGCAGGUGGGCAGCCACCCGGACUUAGCUGACCUGGCUCAGGGGAGGGGACGCUCUGUUGCACAGAGGCGUAGAUUGGGGGUCUUAGGGAUUCUGGGGAGAAAAAGCACAGAAACAGACUCUUAAACACAGAGAAAAAAAACUGAUGG